GGUAGCNGGNCUGAGAGGNCGACCGGCCACACUGGRACUGAGACACGGCCCAGACUCCUACGGGAGGCAGCAGUGGGGAAUAUUGNGCAAUGGAGGGAACUCUGACCCAGCGACGCCGCGUGCGGGAUGAAGGCCUUCGGGUUGUAAACCNCUUUCANNANGGAANAAGCGAAAGUGACGGUACUUGCAGAAGAAGCACCGGCUAACUAUGUGCCAGCAGCCGCGGUAAUACAUAGGGUGCAAGCGUUGUCCGGAAUUAUUGGGCGUAAAGAGCUCGUANGUGGUUCGUCNCGUCGGAUGUGAAAAUCUGGGGCUUAACCCCANACCUGCAUUCGAUACGGGCNANCUAGAGUGUGGUARGGG
rnacentral:rRNA from 1 species